GCCGCGGCAAUAGCUCAGUGGGUAAAGCGCCAGGUGAGUAGAUGGCAAUUACUCGAAGAGGUAUUAUCCGCUGGUUCGAAUCCCACCUGUGGCA